rnacentral:sRNA from 1 species
GUAUUCGCAAGCGCUCUACUCCUCCUCCCAAGGGCGCCUGUGGGAACAGCAGCACUCCUCCUCCCAGCUGCUGUUCGAUUAUUUUUCGAAAGCCUGCCGCACCUCCUCCCGCGGCAGGCUUUUUCG